AGAGUUUGAUCAUGGCUCAGGAUGAACGCUAGCGGCAGGCCUAAUACAUGCAAGCCGAACGGCAAGUUGAGUAGCAAUACUUAACCUAGAGUGGCGUAAGGGUGCGUAACACGUAUGCAAUCUGCCCGCAACAGGAGGAUAGCUCCCCGAAAGGGGAAUUAAGCCUCCAUAGGACCACACGAGGGCAUCUGAGAGUGGUU
rnacentral:rRNA from 1 species